rnacentral:rRNA from 1 species
UACGGAGGGAGCUAGCGUUGUUCGGAAUUACUGGGCGUAAAGCGCGCGUAGGCGGCUUUGUAAGUUAGAGGUGAAAGCCCGGGGCUCAACCCCGGAACUGCCUUUAAAACUGCAUCGCUUGAAUCCGGGAGAGGUGAGUGGAAUUCCGAGUGUAGAGGUGAAAUUCGUAGAUAUUCGGAAGAACACCAGUGGCGAAGGCGGCUCACUGGACUGGCAUUGACGCUGAGGUGCGAAAGCGUGGGGAGCAAACAGG